GGACCUGUAGCACAGUGGAAGGUCAUCUGCUUUCCAUGCAGAAGGUCACAGGUUCAAUCCCUGUUAUCUUCA